rnacentral:tRNA from 1 species
GGUUCCGUAGCUCAGCUGGAUAGAGCAACGGCCUUCUAAGCCGUAGGUCACAGGUUCGAAUCCUGUCGGAAUCA